AUCGCCUCCUGAAUACCCUAUAUAGGAGGUCCCGCCUGCCCUGUGAUAACAAUUUAACGGCCGCGGUAUUUUGACCGUGCAAAGGUAGCGCAAUCACUUGUCUUUUAAAUGAAGACCUGUAUGAAUGGCAUAACGAGGGCUUAACUGUCUCCCUCCCUCAAUCAAUGAAAUUGAUUUCUCCGUGCAGAAGCGGGGGUGCGCCCAUAAGACGAGAAGACCCUGUGGAGCUUUAGACAAUAAAUAGGCCCUGUAAAGAAUUCCUCACAAAAAGAGAUUAAACAAAAGGUAAUCUAUUUUGCUGUCUUUGGUUGGGGCGACCGCGGGGGAACACAAAUCCCCCAUGUGGAAAAAGAACAAGUUUCUUUAAACUUAGAGUGCUAACUCAAAGAGCCAGAAUAUCUGACCUAAAACGAUCCGGCAGAGCCGAUCAACAAAAUCAGUUACCCCAGGGAUAACAGCGCAAUCCUCUCCCAGAGCCCAUAUCGACGAGAGGGUUUACGACCUCGAUGUUGGAUCAGGAUGUCCUAGUGGUGCAGCCGCUAUUAAGGGUUCGUUUGUUCAACGAUUAAAAUCCUACGUGAUCUGAGUUCAGACCGGA
rnacentral:rRNA from 1 species